CUUCGCUCUAAGCAAAACGUUCGCAAAACGUUCGGUUGUGGAACGUAAAAAUAAUGCAAUAAUGCACACGGUUAAAAUAACGAACACUUAUCGGUUUUUCACAAAAUUCUACAACGCAAUUGCAGUGCAAUACAAUUGCACACGACACGUAUCGAAGCUACAUAUUAUUAAAAAUCUAUUACUAUAUAAGAGCUGGUAUUUAGAGCAGAAAAUAAAAACCAAAGUUUGAAUAAUAUCAAAGUAGUUUUCUAUUAAAUCCUGAAAUAAUAUCAUAAACAAAAUGCCUUGCAAAGGAUGUGGAAACGAUUGCAAAUGCACUGCCCAAAAGUGCUGCGACAGAUGUCCCUGCGAUCACCAUUGUCAUUGUCCCUGCAAAACUUCCGCUAAGGAAUAGCACAGAAAAGGUGUUUGAAGUGGAAAUGCUAUAUUAAAUUUUCUUUGAACUCAAAAUGUAUAUUGUAUUUAAAAAUGUUAUUUAAAUAAUAUAAAAUAAAAAAUAAAAUAAAACAACCAAAGAAUUAA